rnacentral:rRNA from 1 species
CAGUAGCCGCGGUAAUACGUAGGCAGCGAGCGUUGUUCGGAAUUACUGGGCGUAAAGAGUGUGUAGGCGGUGCUAUAAGUUCGGUGUGAAAUCUCCCGGCUCAACUGGGAGGGUGCGCCGAAAACUGUAGUGCUCGAACGUGGGAGAGGAAAGCGGAAUUCCUGGUGUAGCGGUGAAAUGCGUAGAUAUCAGGAGGAACACCUGCGGUGUAGACGGCUUUCUGGACCAUUGUUGACGCUGAGACACGAAAGCGUGGGUAGCAAACAGGAUUAGAUACCCCCGUAGUCCCUGUCUCUUAUAC